rnacentral:tRNA from 1 species
GGUUGUAUAGCUCAAUGGUAGAGCGCACGCCUCGUACGUGGAAGGCACUGGGUUUGAUCCUCAGUACUACAU